rnacentral:rRNA from 1 species
AGUAGCGGUGAAAUGCGUAGAUAUCUGGAGGAAUACCAAAGGCGAAGGCAGUCCCCUGGUACGAUACUGACACUGAGGUACGAAAGCGUGGGGAGCAAACAGGAUUAGAUACCCUGGUAGUCCACGCCCUAAACGAUGUCGAUUAGCCAUUGGAAGGACCCCUUUUCCUUUCAGUGACGUAGCUAACGCGUUAAAUCGACCGCCUGGGAAGUACGACCGCAAGGUUAAAACUCAAAGGAAUUGACGGGGACCUGAACAAGCGGUGAAUGAUGUGGAUUAAUUCGAUGCUACGCGAAGAACCUUACCUACCUUUGACAUGGCCAAAGUUCUACCGAGAGGCGGAAGUACUCGUAAGAGGAUUGGCGCACAGGUGCUGCAUGGUUGUCGUCAGUUCGUGUCGUGAGAUGUUGGGUUCAGUCCCGCAACGAACGCAACCCUUAUCUUUAAUUGCUCCUAUUUUAACAGGCACUUUAAAGAAACUGCCAAUGAUAAGUUGGAGGAAGGUGGGGAUCACGUCAAGUCCGCAUGGCCUUUAUAGGUAGGGCUUCACACGUCAUACAAUGGUUAGAACAAAGAGCUGCAAAUUCGUAAGAAGGAGCCAAUCUCACAAACCUAACCUCAGUUCGAAUUGCGGUCUGCAACUCGAGCGCAUGAAGCCGGAAUCGCUAGUAAUCGUGGAUCAGAAUGCCA